rnacentral:piRNA from 4 species
GGGGGAUGUAGCUCAGUGGUAGAGC